rnacentral:lncRNA from 13 species
ACUAAUGUCUUAAUGGUGUAAUACAACAUUUAGAAACAUGAGCAUUUGAAAAAUCAAGCCCGCUCAUAAACUUCUUAUAAACACCUACUAUAGUGUUUAGAUAUGACAUAAUAUCUGACUGAAAGCAGCCGUUUCACAUGGAGGAGGAAAAAAAUCACAACACUUUGGUUGCUUUUUGUUGUUGCUCAAUGUCAGCUGCACAUAGUUGGCUGUCUGAGUUGAACUGACUGAGUUCCCCCUCUCUCUCCCCCCAGCAGGCCCCUCCUAACGCUCCUCCCCCGGGAACUCUGAGGACGACUCCCAGCAGUCAGACAAAGGAGAGGGAGAACACAGUGAGGAGCCAAAGGGCCUGUCGGAGGCAGACCACUGGAAAGGCCCAGCCCCCACCGUGGAGGAGGAGUCCAGGGAGGAGGAGUUAGACGAGUACUUUGAGGACAUGUUUCUUUGACCACCCUGCCCUUGGAUUUCUGCCAGCAAGAGUCAACAUGCAAGAGUCAAUGUGCAAGAGUCAACAUGCAAGAGUCAAUGUGCAAGAGUCAACAUGCAAGAGUAGAUUUGAUUGAUUUUCUAUUAGACGUGGUUAUCUUCGUUUAAUAUUUCAGUUUGUCUGAAGCUGAAUAAAAAGCAGGUUUUUUUUUAAUCCUGAGCUUCUAAUUCAGCCUCCUGACAUUUCAUUAUAACUGAAAUAAAGACUACAAAAUGCAUGAAGUGCCAUGUAAGAACCCAGUAUCGAAGUGUAUUUAGAAAAAGCACAAUCCACUAAGAACUCCCAAGAAAGGACAGGCUUGUGGUAAUGACUGGAGCCUAAUA